GAUGAACGCUAGCGGGAGGCCUAACACAUGCAAGCCGAGCGGUAUAGAAUCUUCGGAUUUUAGAGAGCGGCGUACGGUGCGGAACACGUGUGCAACCUACCUUUAUCUGGAGGAUAGCCUUUCGAAAGGAAGAUUAAUACUCCAUAAUAUAUUGAUUGGCAUCAAUUAAUAUUGAAAGCUCCGGCGGAUAGAGAUGGGCACGCGCAAGAUUAGUUAGUUGGUGAGGUAACGGCUCACCAAGACGAUGAUCUUUAGGGGCCUGAGAGGUGAUCCCCACACUGGUACUGAGACACGGACCAGACUCCUACGGGAGGCAGCAGUGAGGAAUAUUGGACAAUGGGUGCAAGCCUGAUCCAGCCAUCCCGCGUGAAGGACGACUGCCCUA
rnacentral:rRNA from 1 species